UUAUAAUCUAGCCCACACAAUCCACAUGACCCUUCUAUAUUACAAUUUUUAAAUAAAACAUUUUAAUGCCUUAGUACAGGAGAUCAAAAAGACUCACAGGCGCCUCAGAUAAAGUACCGUAAGGGAACGAUGAAAUAUUAAUGAAAUAACUUAAAGCAAAAAACAGCAGAGAUUUCUCCCCGUACCUUUUGUAUCAUGGCCUAGCCAGUCCGAACAAGCAAAAAGAAAUUUAAGUUUGACUCCCCGAAACUAAACGAGCUACUUCAGAACAGUCCAAGAACCAACCCGUCUCUGUUGCAAAAGAGUGGGAAGAUUUUCAAGUAGCGGUGAUAUACCAACCGAGUUUAAAGAUAGCUGGUUGUUCAGGAAAAGAGUUUUAGCUCUACCUUAAGUUUUUUUAUUUAUCAAAUAACCCCCUUAAACUUAAGAGCUAUUCAAAUAAGGCACAGCUUAUUUGAAACAGGAUACAACCUCACACACCGGGUAAACAAAAGGAUAACAAAACCAAGUGGGCCUAAAAGCAGCCACCUUUAAGAAAGCGUUACAGCUUCACCACACCCAACCCAAAAUCAUUUCAACACCUACUAACCCUUAACCCCCACUGAACCAUUUUAUACUACUAUAAAAACUAUUAUGCUAGGACUAGUAACAAGAAUUUGCUUUUCUCCUUAAUAUAAACAUAAGCCAAAACGGACCAUCCAUUGGCAAUUAACGCUAAUGAACUAACUAUAAUAACAACCCUACUAGAAAACCCUAUAUUCUAUAACGUUAAUCUUACACCAGAAUAUUAAAGGAAAGAUUAAAAGAAAAAGAAGGAACUCGGCAAACUUCAACCCCGCCUGUUUACCAAAAACAUCGCCUCUUGAUAAACAUAAGAGGUCCAGCCUGCCCAGUGACAAUGUUCAACGGCCGCGGUACCCUAACCGUGCAAAGGUAGCAUAAUCACUUGUUCUUUAAAUGAGGACUUGUAUCAAUGGCAUCACGAGGGUUGUACUGUCUCCUUUUUCCAAUCAGUGAAACUGAUCUCCCCGUGAAGAAGCUGGGAUUUUUAUAUAAGACGAGAAGACCCCAUGGAGCUUUAAACUAUGUACUUACUUUAUGUAAAAACACCAAUAAAGCUAAAAAAACUUAAGUACAAUUUUAGGUUGGGGCGACCACGGAGUAUAAUAUAACCUCCACAACAAACAGGCCACACCUUUAUCUACGAGCCACACCUCUAAGAAUUAACAUAUUAAUGUUUAUGACCCGAAUAUUCGAUCAAUGAACCAAGUUACCCUGGGGAUAACAGCGCAAUCUAUUUCAAGAGUCCUUAUCGACAAAUAGGUUUACGACCUCGAUGUUGGAUCAGGGUAUCCAAGUGGUGCAGCCGCUACUAACGGUUCGUUUGUUCAACGACUAAAACCCUACGUGAUCUGAGUUCAGACCGGAGUAAUCCAGGUCGGUUUCUAUCUAUAAAAUGUCUCCCCUAGUACGAAAGGACCGGGAUGACAUGGCCAAUGCAACAACAAGCCAUACUCUUCCAUUCAUGAAAAAAACUCAAUUAAUUAAGACUUCCAAUUAUGCCCUAAACCAGGGCUG
rnacentral:rRNA from 1 species